GGGGGUGUGGUUCAAUGGUAGAACAUGCACGCGUUGGGCUAGCUCCUGCCGUCCCACCUUCGGGUGGAGAGGCUGUAUCUACGGAUAGAGGAGUUCCUUUCGAGGUGUCAGAUGCUGGUUCGAAUCCGGCCACCUCCA